GCACCCACGGAGCCCACUCCGGUGGUGCCCGCCCCUUGUCGGCCAGAGGGGGCGGGGCCGCGGGCGAUGGGGCGGAGCGGGCUGUGUUCUGGUCCGCUCCCGUGACGCGCUGCCCGCCAGGCUGCGGGGGUCGCGGGGCGUCCGCGUGGGCCAGCGGAGGCCCACAGCUGCGGAGGGAAACCACUGGGAGGGGAGAAGGAGCUCUAGGGAGAGCGAGGCUGCAACGAGGGGAGAGCCGGGCGACGGGCAGGGGCCCAGGCGCGCUCCCCGACUUCCCACAGGCGCGCGCAUGCCUGCGUGUCAGGGCGCGCGCUCCCCCUCUCGGACCGAGGCGACCCCAGUCCGUGAGCGGCUUGGAUCCUCGCCCGUUCCCUCCUGGUCGUUUCCGCAGUAACCUCUUAUCAGAGCGGGCAGCUGUGAGUGGCGCUCACAUCCGCCGCUGCCCUGUCGAAUGGGGGAAAGAGUUCUUGUGUUCUGAGGAGGGUUUGGCUAUGGUCCUUGACCCUAUUCUUGUCUCAGACUUGCCUCCCAGGAAUAUAGGAGGAUUGUAUGCCCUGGCCUCCCUGUGAUGGGGUUGAACUACAUGACAUGUUCUCCGAAUUAAGUGUGAGCAUAGCAUUUAAUUGUUGAUGCAAGACCUUCCAGAACUCUUUUUCUCUUUGCCAUGGCAAUCAUCAGUGUUCCAGAGAGCAUAUGCACGAUCAGCCUUGGUAUUGGAGGGAAGAUGAUGCGGAACAGAGUCCCAGUCACAUCAUGAAGGACAUGUAAAAUGCUGUAGAAGAACCUCUUCUGCAAGACCAUUCAUUCAUGCCUUGAGACAGUAUGAAUCAAGCUGACUUUUUUUUUUUCCAAGGAGUUUUUAAACUAUAUAUGUGACACCCCGAUGAAUAAGAAGAGCAGCCAGCUGAGAAGGGGAACUCUACAAAGCUAUUUUUUCAACAGCUGUGACUGACCCACUCACCUCACAGGGAACAGCUAUGCAGAGGAGGAAUGACAAGUAGAAGAGGGGAAAAGGGAAAAUAUAAACAAAAAAAACAGUACAUUUCACACAAAAGCAGAGGAACAGAAAGUGAAAUCUGAGACAGACCAUCAAGCUUCAGACCAUCAUGCAGCAAGGGCUCUAGCCAGUUCCAGGUGAAGACCCCACCCCGGGCCAUCAAGGAGCUUCCCUGCCUCCACUAGACAGAGCAGAGUGAGAGUUCCAUGAUCCCCAAUAGGUAGGGGCUAUGCCUCAAGCCAGCAUGAAGCAGUUACAGAAAAAAAGACCAUCAGUUCCUCUGCCUCCCAUGGGGAUCACAUCUUUCAGCAGGGAGAUGAGGCAUAAAAACAAGGUCUGGAGGCAGGGAAUUCAAGGCCGAUUCACACUUCAGCUAUGACAGGAAAUAUCCUCUCCAUAGGGUAUAGGCCAAGUAAAUGACUUUGUAACUUUACUCCUCAUUUUCAUAGGUUGCACCCCAAGUAAGCAAUGGAAUCCUCUAGAGGGUAUUUCCCCAAAAUUCUGUAAUGGGGUCCUUGAGCCCCUAUGCUCGGGCCCACUCCCACACUGUGGAGUGUACUUUCAUUUUCAAUAAAUCCCUCAUUUCUUCCUUGCUCUGUUUGUGCAUUUUGUCCAAUUCUUUGUUCAAGACGCCAAGAACCUGGACACCCUCCACCGGUGACAAUGGCAGAAGGUGAAGGGGAAGCAAGCACAUCUUACCAUGGCGGAUCAGGAG
rnacentral:lncRNA from 1 species